GGAAUAUUGGUCAAUGGUCGGAAGACUGAACCAGCCAAGUAGCGUGCAGGACGACGGCCCUAUGGGUUGUAAACUGCUUUUAUGCGGGGAUAAAGUGGGGGACGUGUCCCUUUUUGCAGGUACCGCAUGAAUAAGGACCGGCUAAUUCCGUGCCAGCAGCCGCGGUAAUACGGAAGGUCCGGGCGUUAUCCGGAUUUAUUGGGUUUAAAGGGAGCGCAGGCUGAUGAUUAAGCGUGACGUGAAAUGUAGCCGCUCAACGGCUGAACUGCGUCGCGAACUGGUUAUCUUGAGUGAGUUCGAUGUUGGCGGAAUUCGUGGUGUAGCGGUGAAAUGCUUAGAUAUCACGAAGAACUCCGAUUGCGAAGGCAGCCAACAAGGCCUUUACUGACGCUAAAGCUCGAAGGUGCGGGUAUCGAACA
rnacentral:rRNA from 1 species